rnacentral:tRNA from 1 species
GGAGGUGUAGCUCAGUGGCACAGCUCCUGCCUGGCAAGCGCGAGGUCAUGAGUUCUAUUCCCAAUACCCCUC